rnacentral:rRNA from 1 species
UACGUAGGGGGCAAGCGUUGUCCGGACUUAUUGGGCGUAAAGAGCGUGUAGGCGGUUUGGUAGGUCCGUUGUGAAAACUCGAGGCUCAACCUCGAGACGCCGGCGGAAACCAUCAGGCUAGAGUCCGGAAGAGGAGAGUGGAAUUCCUGGUGUAGCGGUGAAAUGCGCAGAUAUCAGGAAGAACACCCGUGGCUAAGGCGGCUCUCUAGUACGGUACUGACGCUGAGACGCGAAAGCGUGGGGAGCGAACAGG